rnacentral:rRNA from 1 species
GACGAAGGGGGCUAGCGUUGUUCGGAAUUACUGGGCGUAAAGCGAGUGUAGGUGGUUGUCCAAGUUGGAUGUGAAAGCCUUGAGCUCAACUCAAGAAAUGCAUUCAGGACUGGAUGGCUAGAGGACCGGAGAGGAUAGUGGAAUUCCCAGUGUAGUGGUGAAAUACGUAGAGAUUGGGAAGAACACCAGUGGCGAAGGCGGCUAUCUGGACGGUUUCUGACACUAAGACUCGAAAGCGUGGGGAGCGAACAGG